rnacentral:rRNA from 1 species
UGGGGAAUAUUGCACAAUGGGCGAAAGCCUGAUGCAGCAACGCCGCGUGAGUGAUGAAGGUCUUCGGAUUGUAAAGCUCUGUCUUUUGGGACGAUAAUGACGGUACCAAAGGAGGAAGCCACGGCUAACUACGUGCCAGCAGCCGCGGUAAUACGUAGGUGGCGAGCGUUGUCCGGAUUUACUGGGCGUAAAGGGUGCGUAGGCGGAUGUUUAAGUGAGAUGUGAAAUACCCGGGCUUAACUUGGGUGCUGCAUUUCAAACUGGAUAUCUAGAGUGCAGGAGAGGAGAAUGGAAUUCCUAGUGUAGCGGUGAAAUGCGUAGAGAUUAGGAAGAACACCAGUGGCGAAGGCGAUUCUCUGGACUGUAACUGACGCUGAGGCACGAAAGCGUGGGUAGCAAACAGGAUUAGAUACCUUGGUAGUCCACGCCGUAAACGAUGAGUACUAGGUGUAGGAGGUAUCGACCCCUUCUGUGCCGCAGUAAACACAUUAAGUACUCCGCCUGGGAAGUACGAUCGCAAGAUUAAAACUCU